CAGCACCUUUUGCCUACCCCGGCACCACCCCGCCUUUGCCUUGGUGUUGAAAAGUCGCCGCGUUCCUCUUGCCUGAUGAAAUCAAUCCUCUUCUCGUCUAGAUCUGAGCCUCCGCGUGGCUUCCAGAUCAGAUGCUUGGUCCGAUCAACGACGACCUUCAGAGCUGCGACGUUCCGGCUUCCGGGGGAUCUGGAUCUUGGCUGACUGGACAAUUGCGAGGCGUUGACGGGCUUCUAAAGCGUGGCUGGAUUGCUGGAUCUCCUUUCUGCCCCGCGACUCGAUGAUAUCUCUUUGUAUUGGUAAUUAUUGGAUGAAAUUUCGAUAAUUAUUAGAUCGGAGAGAUGUUGGUCGCGGCGGUCCGUGCCUAACUGAAGGCAAGGUAAGGUCCGAGACAAAAGAGGGGAAAAGGAUACAUGAAAAAGAAGUGAGAUGUGACAUCUUGAAGGCCUUUGCCAUGUUGGGUGCGCUCGCAUGGCAGGCAUCGUAAUAAAGAUGUUGGUUUUGUGUGCUGGGUGGGAGAUCGCACAGGGAAUUGUUUUUUUCAUCCCUGGGUUCUCCCGCCCAUUGUGUCCCUGUGCCCUGCUUCGUGUUGUUUGGCUUCUCGUCCUACGCUUCAUCACCGGUGCUGCUGCAAAUUGAACGGCGUUUCUCGUCUCACGGCGUGCUGCAAAUUGAACGGGGCUACAUCGCAACGCAACACACAAGGUACAAACCGGAUCUAAACAUUUUCAAUUUACAGCGAAGUUAGCAAGUUACUGAAAUCACCAUCAAUCGUUCAAAACUCAGCGCGCCACAAACUUCUACGCCUAUACUACGCCAUGCAUAUGCAGUUCAUUCACCCAACGCUUAUCCCGUAAGGCUAUAAAGCACAUGCGAAAGGCGUUCAUUCACUCUGUAAGGCGUUCUUGUUCUUCACCCAACGCUUCUCGCACGGGGGUCUUCUAUUGACCAUUGAAGAAAAACAUUUGACUGGAGAUAGCAUCUGGAAUAUAUGAAUCUAGUAUAACGAACUAGGUCUGAAAAUCUGGGCAAUUCCAGAUUCGAUUCUCAUGUGAGAUGAUAAAAACGUCAUAAUUAUCCUGCGUACUAAAAAAUAUUCGCUAGUUGAGUCGUUCCGGCAUAUACAAAAUUAUUAGCUACAGUUGUUCCUGCAUGCGUGUAAUGUCCUUCGGUGAACUUGUCUGUCAUUAUCAUUUAAAAACGUAUCUAGAUGCAUUACGGAAGAUUUUUAGUUUCCUUUGUUAUAUUUGAGAAGUUAUAUAUUGUAUAUACAGAGAGAUGCAGCUGUGUAUUAUUUGCUGUAGCUUCGAUUGCGAGACGCAUGGUUGCAGUCAUUUUAUUGUAGUUAGUUUAUAUGAUACGUCGUUGUCACCGCAUGAAGAUUAACUGCUGUGCCAUAUGAAGACCUCCUGCCUCAUCACGGUGUUUGUAUAUAAGAUCAACUGCAGUGCCUACACGGUGGACGGAGUAUUUGUAUGAUGUGAAGGUCACUAUUCAGCAUCGUCAGUAUGAAAUGGCUAUGGCCUUCAAAGCUUUCUUUCUUGGUCACCGGACAGGGAAGAAAUAUUCUGCUCAAGCUCACAAUUAGAUACAAGACAUAACUCAGAUAAGAGCUUGUUCAACUUGCACUAUAGUUCAUUUGAGUAUUUACCUAUUAUUGAUCUCUUGAGUUGAAGCUAGGUUUCAAGUAUCUCCUAAGGAUUCGUAUAUGUGAAAACCAGGGAUUCUCUUUUUUUUUUGCACUACAAUCUGUGACGUUUUAAUAUUUGAUGACUAGUUGUUCAUGCAUUGCUAUUGUAUUUGCAUAU